rnacentral:rRNA from 1 species
AUUGAACGCUGGCGGCAGGCCUAACACAUGCAAGUCGAGCGAGCGGCGGACGGGUGAGUAAUGUAUGGGAAUCUGCCCGAUGGAGGGGGAUAACUACUGGAAACGGUGGCUAAUACCGCAUACUAUCAGAUGAACCCAUAUGGGAUUAGCUAGUAGGUGGGGUAACGGCUCACCUAGGCGACGAUCUCUAGCUGGUCUGAGAGGAUGAUCAGCCACACUGGGACUGAGACACGGCCCAGACUCCUACGGGAGGCAGCAGUGGGGAAUAUUGCACAAUGGGCGCAAGCCUGAUGCAGCCAUGCCGCGUGUAUGAAGAAGGCCUUAGGGUUGUAAAGUACUUUCAGUGGGGAGGCGUUACCCGCAGAAGAAGCACCGGCUAACUCCGUGCCAGCAGCCGCGGUAAUUC